UUGUAGUAUAUGUUGUUUAUAAGUAAGUAAUUUUAUUUCAAAAUAAAAAUACCUACCAACUAAUAAAUAUUAGCAAGUCAGCCCGUGAGUUUAGCUGGCUAUUACAAACUAAAAUCCUCAUAUUAGAAAUCACCGAUCGAUAUUAUAUUGUUUUCUCAGAUUAGUAAUACAAAUAACUUUGGACGGACAAACAUUAGUAUUAUUUGUCACAUUAUAUUGCGUCUGCUACAUGAAUCCCGCGCGUUCCGAUACACUCAAAAUCAGUUGAACGGACGGUAAAACAAGUAUCUUUAAAUUUCUAAUGUUAUAGUAAAUAGAGUAUAAUUAUGUAAUAUCAUUUUAUGAUUUUAUUAUGGUUGUUCUGCAGCGAUUUUUCAAUUGAUGUUAUAUCAUAAUUUGGGUACCUACUAUGUCGGGGUCCUACGAGAAAGCUGGCGUAUCAACGCCACGAAUAUUCAGGCGCCCGUAAAUCGUCAAAACGAGUGAAAAGCGCAUUCAGUUGGAUACAUGUGGACGACAAGAUAGUAAACCUGUAAAUUAUAACUCAAGUUGUGGCCAGCUUCAUUGUAAACAAACUUUAGUUUUCAAGUUCAAGGACAAAUGCGUGUCAGUAACAUGGAUAAAUGCUACUUCAUAUGUUUUAUUUCAGUCAAUGAACCUUUGACUGUUAUAGAAGUUUGUCGAGAUAAUAUAAUGACUUUAUCAGCAAUAUGAUGCCAAAGUUAAUACACUUUUUUAAAGAAUGUAUUCUGCCAGAAAUAGUUUUGAGACAUGUUCAAAAAAUGCGAAAUGUAUACCUAGGUAUGAAAGCAGCUGUGUAGCGGUAGUUUCCAGGCAAUAAUGAGGAAGGAUGAGCGAAAACAACACGACAAAUGUUUUUUUAUUGUACUAUUAUAGUAGUGUGUUUAGAAUCUACAUUAUCAAUGUUUACAGUCAUGUUUUUUUUGAUGUCAGAAAACUGAAAUGGUGUACUCGUCGUAAUGAACAUAAUGUUCAUAAUGUGAUAUGAAUACAUUGACCUAUUUUAAGGUUUCUGAAAAACAAAAAGGAAAGUUGUUGCUUUUUUAUUUCCUUAUGUAGUAUAGUGAUUAUGGAUGCUUAGAUAUUCUCAAACAUUUUUCCGCUUUGAUUGCAAUCUAUUAUUCUGGUUGCCUUGUUUAUGAAUUAUAGUUUUGAAUUAUUAUUUUGAAUGAGAUUAUUUUUUAAUAAUCAGUCACGUAUCAAGCAUUCAUGUCACAUAAAUACUUGUAAUAAUUGCAGGUUAGUAUAUACAUUCUAUUAAAUAAUGUAUAAGAUAAUAAAAUAAAACUGUCUUACAUUGCA